GACAGCCAGGAUGUUGGCUUAGAAGCAGCCAUCAUUUAAAGAAAGCGUAAUAGCUCACUGGUCGAGUCGGCCUGCGCGGAAGAUGUAACGGGGCUAAACCAUGCACCGAAGCUGCGGCAGCGACGCUGAUGCGUUGUUGGGUAGGGGAGCGUUCUGUAAGCCUGCGAAGGUGGCCUGUGAGGGUUGCUGGAGGUAUCAGAAGUGCGAAUGCUGACAUAAGUAACGAUAAAGCGGGUGAAAAGCCCGCUCGCCGGA
rnacentral:rRNA from 2 species